AGUUGCCAAGAGGAAUGUAGGUCAAGGACUGAGCAGGAGUUGCCAUGAUGUCAGUUCUGUCCAAAAUGACCACCAUCACCAUAGCAACCCAGUGUUGCUAGGUAGCCCACUGGCUCAUCGGAAAUUUGGUCAUCAUAAGAACAUAACUGCAAGCAUCUUGAUGAACUGGAACCAACUUAAACAGCGAAGAAGCAGCUUCCCAGCAAGG